UACAGAGGGGGCAAGCGUUGUUCGGAAUUACUGGGCGUAAAGGGCGCGUAGGCGGUCCGAUAAGUCCCGUGUGAAAUCCCUCGGCUCAACUGAGGAAUGGCACGGGAAACUGCCGGGCUUGAGUUCGGGAGAGGGAAGCGGAAUUCCGGGUGUAGCGGUGAAAUGCGUAGAUAUCUGGAGGAAUACCGGUGGCGAAGGCGGCAACCUGGACCGACAUUGACGCUGAAGGGCGAAAGCGAGGGGAGCAAACGGG
rnacentral:rRNA from 1 species